rnacentral:tmRNA from 1 species
GGGGGCGAUUAGAAUCGAUUCGGGCUCAAGAGUUGCGAGGGGCAUGCCGAGGUGGUCAGGAGGCCUCGUAAAACACCUGACAGCAUCACAAAUGCCAACGCAAAUCGCGUUGCAAACGUCCUCGGGACCAGAAUGCCGGCCCCGAUGGCGUUCUCGCCGCUCCUGAACUAAUCUUCAGGGGCGCCAUCUGCUGAGACGGCCUGCAGGUCAGCGGGUGGUACGAGCAGGCUGGCGGCCGUUUUCGCGAUUGAGGACGGCCGCGAGGAACACAUCGAUCGCUAGUUCUGGAGACGCCGGCUCCGUAGACGGGCCAGGACGAAUGCUCAGCGCGGAGCUACGCAUGUAGAGGGCUCACGCUCUCGGACCGAAGACGCGAGUGCAAAUCUCGCCGCCUCCACCA